rnacentral:rRNA from 1 species
UACGUAGGGCGCAAGCGUUGUCCGGAAUUAUUGGGCGUAAAGAGCUCGUAGGCGGCUUGUCGCGUCGAUUGUGAAAGCCCGGGGCUUAACUCCGGGUCUGCAGUCGAUACGGGCAGGCUAGAGUGUGGUAGGGGAGAUCGGAAUUCCUGGUGUAGCGGUGAAAUGCGCAGAUAUCGGGAAGAACACCCGUGGCGAAGGCGGCUUUCUGGGACGGUACUGACGCUGAGACGCGAAAGCGUGGGGAGCGAACAGG